rnacentral:rRNA from 1 species
GACGAACGCUGGCGGAAUGCUUUACACAUGCAAGUCGAACGGCAGCACGGACUUCGGUCUGGUGGCGAGUGGCGAACGGGUGAGUAAUGUAUCGGAACGUGCCCAGUCGUGGGGGAUAACGUAGUGAAAAUUACGCUAAUACCGCAUACGAUCUAUGGAUGAAAGCGGGGGAUCGCAAGACCUCGCGCGAUUGGAGCGGCCGAUAUCAGAUUAGGUAGUUGGUGGGGUAAAGGCCCACCAAGCCAACGAUCUGUAGCUGGUCUGAGAGGACGACCAGGCACACGGGAACUGAGACACAGUCCAGACUCCUACGGGAGGCAGCAGUGGGGAAUUUUGGACAAUGGGCGAAAGCCUGAUCCAGCCAUUCCGCGUGCAGGAUGAAGGCCCUCGGGUCGUAAACUGCUUUUGUACAGAACGAAAAGGUUUCUACUAAUACUAGGAGCUCAUGACGGUACUGUAAGAAUAAGCACCGGCUAACUACGUGCCAGCCGCCGCCGUAAAAC